AUUGCAGAGCUACCUUCUGAUUUCUUCUCCACACUCCAUAGAUACUGAAGAGUCAAGAUUAAUGGUGCUCUAACCUUCUCAAAGCACCCAAGUUCUGGCAGCGCUCCACUCAACCCCACCCCUCCUGCUGAUAUCCUUCUGGCAGAAGCAAGGGGUGGCCGAGAGCCUUCAAAACAGUUCCCCACAACUUUUUCACAGCUUCUAUUACCUCUUCUGAAUGCAUCUGGAAAGGUACAGAUGAAGAGAGAAUACCUCCACAAGUCUACUGGAUCUAGAUGGCAUAAUUACAGAAGAGUAACAGGAUGAGUCCCAGACCUGAACAACUGGUAAAUAUUUCAGAUACCAAUAUCAACUUCUUAGCCAGGCAACAGGAAAAGGAGCAAAAUAGGAUUUCUCAAGCAACCAGAUGUUCCACAAAGCACUGAGAGGAGAAUCUCAAGAGAUACUCUCAAAUAUCUCUGCAGAAAUCACAGAGACUUUUGUCAUGCUAUUGCACAGGGACAAGCUAUCAGAGCAGAUGUCCCACCAGAAGGCUUCAAGCUGCACCAGGUCACUGACGAAGAUGUUGAAUAAGAUCAGACCCAGUACUGACCCCUGGGGAACACGACUUGCUACAGGCCUCCAACUGAACUCUGCGUAACUGAUCACAACUUCUGAGCUCUGCCAGUCAGCCAGUGCUCAAUCCACCUCACUGUCCACUCAUCUAUUCCACUCUUCCUAUGCUUAACUACAAAGACGUUAUGAGAAACAGUGUCAAUAGCCUUGCUGAAGUCAAGGUAGACAACUAGUCAAGUAGCUAGACAAGGUACUUAGUUAAUUGUCAUCAUCAUCUUUUUAAUAGAUGAAGAAAUGUGAAACAUGGGAAGUUAAGGACAUGAAGCAAACAAGAGCUGAAGAGCUCUUCUUGCUCACCUCUGCUAUUAUUCCUCUGCUUCCUGCGUCAUUCUAUACCACAGUUGUUUGUUGCCUGGUAGCCAGACACACUGCACACAACUGCACAGAAAAUUUUGCCUUAGUCCCCCAGCUCCUGUAUCUUAGCUCAUUGGUAAGAACAACCAUGACAAUAAGGAAGGUCCAAGAUGUGCAGCAAGGCAUGCCCAGCCUUCUUUACUGAUUAUCUUCUUCCCAUCAAGAACACAGAUAACAGGUAAUUUGUAAAUGUGAUUUCCAUCAUCUAAGUAUCCCAGUUAGUGCCAGAGUUGCUCAUUUCUCUCCAUUGAAAGUCAGAAAAAAAGAGUUAGUUGCAUACAGAAGAGGACUCAAUUUGCCUGAGAAUUGAGUUGUUAUGUGUUAAUACAAAAAAAUUAAUGUACUUCUGUAAAAAGGUUGUCUCCUAGUUAAAAAAGUCAUUGACCCUGAUUUCUCCUUUCCGACAUAUUCCUCCUGCUACUUGCUGAAUGUGAUGAUUUCACACUGGCAUCUGAAUUUGCACAUAGUAAUGCUCAUUAGUAAUGUGUAAUAAUCGCUUUACUAUAGACUUCAUUCCCACAAGUUCCUGGAAGCUCAAUGUUGUAAAGUUAG
ensembl:lncRNA